ACACCUCUGGCUGGCUGUUCCCCUCCUCACCUUGGGGUCACCUGGCAGAGCAUCGCCUGAGAGACCCUGGGUGGAACCUGGGAAGGGAAACCAGGAGGGUGAUGCUGCUGAGAUGUUCCGUCAAUUCCCUCUGGACCCCCUUGUCUCAUCACAGUGGCUGGCUGAGCACGGGGCUGCACAGAUUCAGAAUUUCUGAGCCGAGGAUUUCGGGGGGUUUGGGGUGGGAUUGGUCCUGUCAGAGCUGUGUGCAGGGGACAUACUGCCUCUGCCCCAAGGGAUGGGGGGGGGGUCUGGGGAUGUUAUCAGAAGAUGAGGGUAACCAGACAGGGGAGCAGGUCAGAGCACAGAUGGGGGCAGUUGUAAUCCCUGCCAGCACAUGUGCUGGGAGGAGAGAUGCUGUUGGGGGGUGAGGAAGAAGAAGGAGGUGGUUGGGGGUGCGGGGGGGCUCCCAAGGCAGAGUCUGCACCCAAGCGGUGACACAAAUAUACACGGACAGACACACAGAGCAUGUAAACAGGCACAUGGGGAGACCAUGUGCUGCUUCGCUGCCAGUGGUGGAAAGCAAGCCCGGAGCAAAGGCACACGCCAGCCCAAACGCACACACGGUCACACACACGCACAGUUUUCCCACGGGGGAUCUUUCCAGCCUUGCCUUCAUUUCCUGGAGUGCUCAGAAGGAAAAGCCAGAGAGUGGAGCUGGAGAGGUGAACGACAUCCGAACGGUGACGGGAAUGGCUUUGUACAUCACGCUAAAAAUAGUCCUCGUGAUAAAGUCAGUCGCGGAGGGGGAGGAGGUGCAGGCAGUGCACAGAUGCUGGCGAGGACUGCCAGGGGUUUGGAAACCUGCACAGCAAGGACGGAGCAGAAGGAGCCUUGUCGGGCCGUAAUUAGCACUGGUAACUUGCUCCAAGCAGCACUGAGGGAAUUAAGCAGUGAGCAGCUUGGGAGGGGGCCUGCCCGGGCACAUUACACCCCCUUCUCUUGGGAUGGAUGCUUUGCAACCCUGAGAAAUGGGAAGCAGCGAGUGACUGCUGCAGCUGGAAUUGUGCUGAGAACAGAUGGGUGCUCUGGUUUCUUUUGAACUUCUGAGCACCAGGUCAGUGCUGGUCUGGCUGGUGCCCGCCAGCAGGUACCCUGAGCCGGCUGGAUGCUGAGCUCCAGGCCAAGCUGGGCUCCUGAGGAGAGAGGCAUGAAGGCUGCCAGAAGCAGAGGCUUUUUAAACCCUGCAUCUCUGUUCUCCUUCCACGCCAUGUGGCAAAGGUCUAGGGGGAGAGGCAAGGUCGGUUUGUGCCGUUGCAUGGCCUCUCCAGUGUUCGGCGGCGUUGGCCUCGCAGGCAGCAGGAUAACUCCCUGCCUGCUCUUGCCACUGAUGAUUCACGCUGCGAACUUGAGGCAGGAUGGGAGCUGACACAACUGGGCCCAGUGCCGAUCUCCUCAUCGCCAAUGGGAGGAGGAGGAGGAGGAGGAGAAGGAGGAGGGGGACAUGUGAGCCAGCCCCUGAGAGCCACGGUAGCCCCUGGGUGUCACACAGGAGCCCGUAGCCUGUCCCCUCUGCCCACGCUGGCGCAGUGGCUGCUGAUGUGCUUGCCAGUGAUGGAAACAGCCCCCGAAUCCCUGGGGAGAAAUCCCCUGGUGGGAUACAGGCUGUCCUUGGCUGUGCAUCACGAGGCAGCAGCCCAAAGCAGGGAGGGGGAACCCCGAGACAGGAGUCAGGAGCAAACAGCUGUAUGGGGGAAACUGAGGCAGGGACACUGGUAGCAGGAGGGGCUUGGCAGUGUUAAGCUCUGCUCUUUGCAGUAAAGAAUGGGAUUUCUUACAGCUGUCCUCCCUCAGCAUCCGCCAACUACAUCCCAGAGGAUGCUGAGGAUGUUGGUGUGGCAUCAAACACCCCCAAAGCCUCACUCCUGCCCAUGGGACUGGUCACAGUCCCAGAUGUCGGCAGCACGGUGCCAUUUAGAGGAAAACCAAAGGUCUAAACGAGUUUCAAGUUAGGUUUUCUGCUCUUUUUUUGAUGGCUGGCAGGGGUCUGUCAGCCAGCGGUAGCCCAGGGAGAGGGGACCAGUUGGGAUGCGAAACCUCCUCCCUGCUCACUGAUGUCUAUCAUCAUACGAAGGCGCUGGGUAUUUUUUGCCAUUUCAAAAGCUGUGUUUCUUGCAGGCUUUGCCUGUAAAUGACUUUAAUCUUCAUAAGCCCAAAAAGUAAAGCUGCUUAUACGGCUGGGGCCUGCCGGAGCACUAGAAGGAAUGGGGAGGGGGAUGUGGACAAGAGAAUGAGGGGUUAGUCCAGGGGAAAUGAAAUCCUAUGGUGGAUCAAGCUCCAUCACAUCCCUGUCCUGUCCCCUCCAGCCACUGGACACCCUGAGGUCUCAGGAGAAGAGGGUUGGAGCAUUCAGCUUCUGUAGCUAUUGCCACCUCCCCUCCGCACCAAAGGGCUCUUGAAGGCUGUGUCAGUCCAUCCUCCAUCCCACCUAGAGCUGAGUUGUGCCUGCUCUGUCUCAGAGCCCACCCACUUUUUCCUUCAACCCCCCAAGAGGAGUCUCAGUCCCAAUCCUGGCCCAAAAUAGACCCCAAGCUCCCGACUCCAGCUUGCGAACCAGGCAGCCGGUAAAGCCGAUGCCCUGCUCAUCAUUUAACGCUGAAUAAUUCUCCAUGGAUGAAGGGAACUAUUUUAAACCUGCCAAGCCCUGUGUGCUAGACAUCAUCUCCACUCAACACUCUUCAACACAGCGGGAACCCUGUGGGGACACUUGCUUUGGGGUUGGGGGUCCAGGACAUGGCAGGGGGGGGUCCUGUCUUUAUCCCCUUGGUUGAGUCAAGCAGUGCAAGGAACAAGGUUCACAGCUCAGCCUCUAGACCUUCCCCUGCCUGGUCCAAGCAUUUUCAAGGGUGGAAGAUAAAGCCUGACUUAAAGGGAAGCUUUGCCAUCACUUGGCAGCUUCAUCACUGUCACAACCUCACCAGUUCUUAUGGGCAGGAUGGAGACAAGUGAUGCCCAAGUGAGGCUCAUCCCAGCCACAUGUGGACCCGAAGCAGAACUGGGGGGACCGUCCCUAUCUUGUACUCUGCCAGGGGAUCCCAGGACCCCCAGGGUGCUGUGUUCCCCCCAGGGCUGCAUCCCAUGGGAGCAGAGACAGAGGGGCGGUGAGGCGGGAUGUGCCGCGUCCGUAUGGAAUGGUUUUUUUAUUACAGUUUUAAUCUCACAGUCGGUAGCAUUACAUGAGAAUAAAGCACUGGACAGGACUGGAAAAAAAGGCCUCUGGAGACAGCAUGCAAACAUUGCAACGAGUUUAAAGCAAAACAACCCAAAAAAAAGCGUCUUGCGGGGACGCGGCCGCACUCUCCCGACCAGGCAGCGAGUCCAGCGUCUCCCCUUUAACCAUCACUUCUGUCGUUGGGGUUUCCUUUUCGUGUGUCCGUUUCAUUGGCUUAUUUAUUUUAUUAUUAUUCUUCUUUUAUUAACCUUCUUCUCUCUCUUUUUUUUUUUCUUCUUUUACUUACAUUAAAAAAUAAGAUUCGUACUUUAGUAAAAUGCCCAGCACGUAGCUGGGUCCUGCUUGAAAUAAUAAAAAACAACAAAAAAACAACAAAAUAAACCCCAAAACUGAGAAAACAAAAAA